UGGGGAAUAUUGGACAAUGGGCGAAAGCCUGAUCCAGCCAUGCCGCGUGUGUGAAGAAGGUCUUCGGAUUGUAAAGCACUUUAAGUUGGGAGGAAGGGCAGUUACCUAAUACGUGAUUGUUUUGACGUUACCGACAGAAUAAGCACCGGCUAACUCUGUGCCAGCAGCCGCGGUAAUACAGAGGGUGCAAGCGUUAAUCGGAAUUACUGGGCGUAAAGCGCGCGUAGGUGGUUAGUUAAGUUGGAUGUGAAAUCCCCGGGCUCAACCUGGGAACUGCAUUCAAAACUGACUGACUAGAGUAUGGUAGAGGGUGGUGGAAUUUCCUGUGUAGCGGUGAAAUGCGUAGAUAUAGGAAGGAACACCAGUGGCGAAGGCGACCACCUGGACUGAUACUGACACUGAGGUGCGAAAGCG
rnacentral:rRNA from 1 species